CACGUAGGGUGCAAGCGUUGUCCGGAUUUAUUGGGCGUAAAGAGCUCGUAGGUGGUUCGAUAAGUCGGGUGUGAAACCUCCAGGCUCAACCUGGAGACGCCACCCGAUACUGUCGUGACUAGAGUCCAGUAGGGGAGCGUGGAAUUCCUGGUGUAGCGGUGAAAUGCGCAGAUAUCAGGAGGAACACCAGCGGCGAAGGCGGCGCUCUGGGCUGGCACUGACACUGAGGAGCGAAAGCGUGGGGAGCGAACAGG
rnacentral:rRNA from 1 species